GGUCCUGGUGGAUCGUUACCCAACAUGGUAAGCCAUGAUCCAAUUUACAUUGUUUUCCAUGUUUUCCUUAAAAUAAUAAAUUGAUGUUUCUGUAAUUUCUGGCUUUUUGACGAUUAUGUCUGCCUACAUUUUGUCUUGAAAUUUGGUUAAUGGUAAUUUGUUUGUCUUUCAUAUGAAAAUUCUUUGGGCUUUCAUUGUCCAUCCUUCAAACCCUUACUUCAUUUGUUGUUGUUUGAACUCAAGACCUCCAAGUUGGAAUGUGAAGUUUUAAAAUAGGCUGACCUGCGUCUUUAAUUUUUAAUUUCUUUUAGGUUUUAUUGUUUCUUCAAAAUUCCUUGGAAGCUGCUCUUAAUAAUAGGCAUUACAAGCAUUGGUUGAAAAGCAGAAAUUUCCCAGCUAUAGCAGUUUGAUAAAAGGAAAUUCAGAAUUUCUGGUUAGGCAACACGUUGAUGAUUGCCAUG
rnacentral:misc_RNA from 1 species